rnacentral:rRNA from 1 species
AUUGAACGCUGGCGGCAGGCCUAACACAUGCAAGUCGAACGAGAGGGGGAAGGGGGAGUAAAGUCUGGGAAAAAGCCCGAGGGAGGGGGGUAACAACUGGAAACGGGAGCGAAAACAGCGUACCAUAGGAGGUGCGCAGAGGGGAUUAGCUUGUAGGUGAGGUAACGGCUCCCCUAGGCGACGAUCCCUAGCUGGUCUGAGAGGAUGACCAGCCACACUGGAACUGAUACACGGUCCAGACUCCUCCGGGAGGCAGCAGUGGGGAAUAUUGCACAAUUGGCGCAAGCCUGAUGCAGCCAUGCCGCUUGUAUGACGAAGGCCUUCGGGUUGUAAAGUACUUUCAGCGUGGGGGCGUUACUCGCAGAAGAAGCACCGGCUAACUCCGUGCCAGCAGCCGCGGUAAUAC